UACGUAGGGUGCGAGCGUUUGUCCGGAAUUAUUGGGCGUAAAGAGCUCGUAGGCGGUUUGUCGCGUCUGCUGUGAAAUCUAGAGGCUCAACCUCUAGCGUGCAGUGGGUACGGGCAGACGUGGAGUGGUGUAGGGGAGACUGGAAUUCCUGGUGUAGCGGUGGAAUGCGCAGAUAUCAGGAAGAACACCAAUGGCGAAGGCAGCUCUCUGGGACGGUACUGGACGCUGAGACGCGAAAAGCGUGGGGAGCGAACAGG
rnacentral:rRNA from 1 species